CAGGAUUCCCCUAGUAACUGCGAGUGAAGCGGGAAGAGCUCAAAUUUAAAAUCUGGCGGUCUUUGGCCGUCCGAGUUGUAGUCUGGAGAAGUGCUUUCCGCGCCGGACCGUGUACAAGUCUCUUGGAACAGAGCGUCGUAGAGGGUGAGAAUCCCGUCUUUGACACGGACUGCCGGUGCUUUGUGAUGCGCUCUCGAAGAGUCGAGUUGUUUGGGAAUGCAGCUCAAAAUGGGUGGUGAAUUCCAUCUAAAGCUAAAUAUUGGCGAGAGACCGAUAGCGAACAAGUACCGUGAGGGAAAGAUGAAAAGCACUUUGGAAAGAGAGUUAAACAGUACGUGAAAUUGCUGAAAGGGAAACGCUUGAAGUCAGUCGCGUCGUCCGGGACUCAGCCUUGCUUUUGCUUGGUGCACUUUCCGGUCGACGGGCCAGCAUCGAUUUUGGUCGCCGGAGAAUGGCUUGGGGAAUGUGGCACCCUCGGGUGUGUUAUAGCCCCUUGUCGCAUACGGCGGUCGGGAUCGAGGAUCGCAGCGCGCCUUUAUGGUCGGGGCUUCGGCUCACGUUCGCGCUUAGGAUGCUGGCGUAAUGGCUUUAAACGACCCGUCUUGAAACACGGACCAAGGAGUCUAACAUGCCUGCGAGUGUUUGGGUGGAAAACCCGAGCGCGCAAUGAAAGUGAAAGUUGAGACCUCUGUCGUGGAGGGCAUCGACGCCCGGCGCUGACGUUUACUGAAGCUGCUGCGGUAGAGCAUGUAUGUUGGGACCCGAAAGAUGGUGAACUAUGCCUGAAUAGGGUGAAGCCAGAGGAAACUCUGGUGGAGGCUCGUAGCGAUUCUGACGUGCAAAUCGAUCGUCAAAUUUGGGUAUAGGGGCGAAAGACUAAUCGA
rnacentral:rRNA from 1 species